rnacentral:tRNA from 2 species
GGGCCGGUAGCUCAGCUUGGCUGGAGCGUUCGACUGAUAAAUCUAAUUCAGACAUCGAAAGGUCGUGAGUUCGAAUCUCACUCGGCCCACUA